rnacentral:lncRNA from 1 species
CCUAGAUGGAUUUUUAUUCAUUCAAUCAAUUACAACAAGCUACAAAACGUUAGAUAAGUUGUGCCCAUAAUCUGUUAGAUAUGAAUAACAUUUUGCUGUUGCAGGAAAAGGACAGUUCUAUAUGAGUUUUAUAACAGUUAGCUUUAGUAUUGAACAUGCAAUGUUUAUCUAGUAUUAUCAGUUUUAUUAAACACGGACGAGCAACUAGUCAUCUGUUCUAUUGCCAGAGGUAAGCAUAUAUUACAAAAAUGUUUGAUUUAAUUACAAGCUAUAAUUGCUAACAGUAUGACACAUGGCUAGAUGUAAAAUAUUUUUUAUAGGUUUAAUUUGUUGUUAGAAUACAAAUCAUGUGAUAUUUAUUAUUUCAUUUUUUAACCGAGAUGUGAGUUGUAGCUUCGAGUUCUUAAUCUUAUUGCUUGAUUCGUACAAAUAAAUUUCAAACAGUGUUUACCAAUUUUAUUAUAGUAUAUACCCAGUAGGUAUGUAAUAAAGUUGAAAGUAAAAUGAGUAGUUAUAAAGCUUGCUGAAUCUGUCAUAUUAUAUGUGUAAAGAAAGCGUAUUUAUCCUCUGGUUUGUUUAGUGGUAUUAUAUCAUGCUGACAUGUUAUUCCGAACUAUCUCCCUCAUAUAUAUAUUUAUCAUAUAUGUUAUAACUUUUAGUUCAUAAUAAAUCAUAUAACUAUAUUUCAGUUUGUAAACAAAAAAUAAUUUCAUUUUUGUAUGAAGAAGGCCUUAAAAAAAAUGUCACACAAACAAUGCCAACUCACCUUGUACAAUUCUAAUUUAAAUUCUUUGAAUAUCAAUAAAAACAUAAACUUGCGACAUAUAUCCGGAUCCAUAGGUGGAAUAAUUGUGUUACAGACAGUGCUUAUAUCACUAUUUACAGCAUUCUUAAGUCACCUAGAUUAAUACAUUUUUAGUGCAUUGUUUCGGAAAUUUGUCAACUAUUAUUAUGAUACAAUCUUAAGCUUAUUAAAGUACAGAUCAUGCAUGUGUCCACGCUCCGCUUGGAAGAAUCUGACCGCGCUCCGUUAUACUUUCAGGCAAUAUUUGAUAAGUAUUUGAAAGAUUAGUUGGUGUUCUCUGUCUUUGUUUUUACAAUAUACAUGUUACUUUCCAAAUUAUCGGCCGAUUUUUUUAUUGGAUGAUUUAACAAUUACCAGAACGGAUAUGUUGAUAGAUCGUUGUAAGCCAAACAUGAACAAGUCAUCUGUGUUUUAGCCACAGUAUAUGUAUUUAUGAUUAAAGGCGAAUCUUAACGAUAUAAUACAGGGACAGAAUGCUUUUGAACAGAGCUGGUUUUUAGUAGUUUGUGCCUUCAAUGACAGACAAAUGCAAAUUAUCCUCACCAAAUCAUAUACUAUGAUCUACCAUUUUUAACUGGAGAUCGUUUAAGUAUCUGACAUUUUCCCAGUCAUAAGUUUUGAUUUGCACAACUUGAAAUACAUUUCUACAUUCAUGAACAGUAAUAAACUAGAUGUGUUGCUUGGUAUAAAAGAAAAUCAGCAAGUUUGGGUUGCUGUGUUCUUUGGGUUUGUUCUAGUUUGGAAAUAUAUUUACUGGUUUCGGUAUUUGUUAAGUCUUUUCCCGAAAAGUUGUCUAUAUACUGUUAAUAUACGUCUCGAUAUGUUACAACUUCCCGGUCGAUUUUGUCUAUCGAAAAGCUAUAAUUUAUACAGGGCUCAAAUCCACAAUUAAAUAAACCUCUUCUGAAAUUUAUCCCAACUAUGUUAGAACUCCAUUUACAUGGGUAAAUAUUUUUUCUUCCAUCAAAAGAUUUCUUUUAGGUAUAUAUUGUGUCAUUGAAUUUUAUAACACAUCCACUAUCUUAAAGGAGCUACGAGAUAUGUAAAAAAUCUAAAUUAUGAUCUCGUUUGUUAAAUCAUUGGUGAAGGUGAAAAAGUGAAAUAAUCAUGAUCUUUAAAAGUGAAAAAAGGUAAAUCAUUUAAUUAACUGAUACAUCCACAAAAAAUCAAUCUUAUAAAACGAUGAUUUACAUAUAUGUUUAAUAUGAAAUUAAACAGACCUAGAAAGAUAUGAUUUCACGAGUUCGCUUAAUUUAUUUAUAUCUAUAAUUUUGUUAUAUCGCUUAUAUGACCAUAGGAGGUCUUCGGAUGUAAUCUCGAUUUUUGAUUGGAUGGCGUCUAGACUGAAAUACACAUAAUACGAAACUAUAUAUUAUCGAGCCUAUGCUCUGUUAACGGUUUAUUUUAGACUUUGUAUAGUUGGGAUUUAUGUUUUCCAUUGUUAUAAAUCAAAUAUGAGAAUUUGAGUCAAAUCGGUGAAGAUAAUUUUGAAAGCUAGUGCCCCCUUAAGGUGGUACCCAACACUUUCACUAAAAUUAAUUUGGCUCGUUUAAUUUUCAUAAAAUUUUGACAAAGUAUUUACUUUGACUAAUUGACAAAAAUAUAAAAAUUUUAAAAAUUGUGAACCAACCAAUUUAUCAGAAAAUUUUCAUUGGUUACAUAGUAGUUUGACAAACACUAAUUUUGAUCAUUGAGAAGCUUAAUAUUUCCUUAAAAACACUACGUAAUUAAAAUGUUUAGCUGAUUUUGUAGAGUUAUCUCCCUGUAGUGCUAGGUACCACCUUAAAUACCUUUUCAAACGGUAAUUGCAAUCGUUUACAUCUUUUAAUUUUGGUGGAAUAUGUAUCUCCCACAUUUUGCUCCAUAAAAUAGAAAUAUCAAGAAUAGUACCUAAAUAGAUCCUAAACACUUUAUACACCGUAGGUAAAAUAUACCGAACCAAGUGGUGCCUUUAAUACAGCUAAAGUACAAUUUAAGAAUUUGGCAAUUAUUGAUAUGAUCGGGAAUGUUUUUUUAAUUAUAAGAAACAAGUUUACUAAUGAAGGCAUUAGAAAAUGUGGUAAAUUUGAAUAACAUCAUAAUAGUACGGUUACUGCACAAGGAUAUAUAGUUUUUAAUCGUUUAUGAAAGAGGAACGAAAGAUACCAGGGGGACAAUCAAACUCGUAAAUCGAAAAUAAACUGACAACGCCAUGGCUAAAAAUGAUAAAGACAAACAUACAAACAAUAGUACACAUGACACAACAUUAAAAACAAAAGAAUAAGCAACACGAACCACACCAAAAACUUGGGGUGAUCCGGAAGGGUAAGCAGAUCCUGCUCCACAUCUGGCAAGAGGUUUUAUGUUACUUUAAGAAUUUGACCUCAUUUUACGAUUUAACAUAAUGAAUACAGAUUCCAAAAACAUAAAUACAAUUACCACUCACUUUGUUUCAGAAACUUUUAAGAUUAAGAAAGUAUGCUGAAUGUUAAUUAGGUUACAGUGUAUUUAGUCUGAAUAUUUAAGUCUGUUAGAUAAGAAAUACCUUGCAUACGAUGUUGUUGUCUUUGAAAUGAUAUAUUGAAAACAUAUGGACCAUUAACUUCCGCGAAAGAGUAAAAAAGAAGAACAAGCUGAUGUGCAUUAGUAAAUAUUUUCAAAGAUAAGUUUUACUUAUAAGAGACAAUCUUUAAGAGGCUUUAUCUCUGCCAAUAUACACUGAGAAAAUGUAGGAUUUAUUUCUCCAUACAGUUUUAAACUUUUAACUUGAAAAAAACAAUUUAAACGGUAUUGAUGAAUAAAGCAAACUUGAUAAUUACAGAUUCUGAAGCUAAUUCCAGCAUAGUUAAUUGAUUAUACGGUCACAACAAAAUUCUUCUGAGUUUAACACUAACACUAACUAAAGUUAAAUCACAUUAAGGAGUUUUGUUUAUAAAGUGACAAUUCAGUUAUUGUUAAGAAGAUUUUAUCAACACAACUGUGUUUUCAUAAACCCAUGAGGACAUUAGUUGUAUGGGUUAUUUACUAACACAUAUCUUUGACAGUAGAUGCAAAAAGGAACAGUCCCAAGUUAUAAGUCCAAGAAAAACAGAUACCGCCAUAGAACAAACAAACGAACAAAGAUGAAUAGAUAAAAAAAGUCCAGAACAUUACACAUUACACAGUGCACCGGAAGGUCGGGCAUAUACUGCUCCCAUUGUGUAGCUCGUUAUGUGGCGUACUUAGCAUUGCUAAAGCUAUUUGCAUAUACAUGUAGAUGAUAACAGUAUUGAUGAAAAACAAAACGAACCUAACAGGCAAGUACACACAAUAAAAUGAAAGUCAAUAUAAUGACACCUACUGUAGACUGUAGACUGUCGUCAUUUAAAAGACAGGGACGAUACGAUAUAACAAAUUUCAUAGAUUUAUGCAAACAGAUGUAGAUGUUAAUGAUUAUUUUUCUGAGAUAAUUUUCAAAUUCCAAACGAAUAAAUCAAAUAAUGUUUUGUACAUGAUUUCAUGUCAGACGUGUAGGUGACAUACUUACAGAAACAGUUGCUACUGGAUAUCAAACAUAGUAUACGUGGUAAAUAUAAUUCUCCAAAAUGGCAAUAGUAGGGGAAAAGUGAUACAAAUAAAAGGAGUUAUGAUAAGUGAUAUAUGAUGCGUCAAAAUAUAGAAAUAAAGCGUUUAUAUAAGUAUGACAUUGCUUUUAUAAACUCUUUAACAGAUACAGAUAAACAAAAAUAUACCUGAUUUUGUAGUCAUUUUGCGAAAACAUCCGAAAAAAACCCAACACGUGACAGAAGCGUUGUUUCAUGUGAAGUUAAUCGAUUAAUCUUACUGGUUAUUUUUAGCUGAAUACCUCAGUUGUUUUCAAAUAUCUCUGUUGUAAAAACCUGCAGGAGAAAUCAUUGUACUUGUCGCUUUUGUUAAAAAAAAUCUCUUUCACAUGUUUUUUUACGUGCAUAAAACGCCUACGUUUGAUUAUGUAGAUAUAAUGUCAUUUCAUAGUUUAAUUAAUAUCCAAUCUGUUUUCUCCCCCAUAAAGAUAAGAUAUUAUUAAGUGAUGAAAAAAUAGUUUAACACAAAUUCCGUCGGUACCUUAGCAGAAUAUCUAGUCUGAGGAAGCAUUGAUUGAUAAAUUAUCCAUGUAAUACAAAGUUUUAUGAUUAAUCGCCAUUCUAAGAUUUGCAAUAAUAGAUGAUGACAGUUAGUUCAUUCACCAUAGGGCUUUAGUCUUCCCUAGUUACAUCACGGUGUUUACUUUCCAUCAUAAAGUUGUUCAACAUAUCGACUUCUUUUAUCAUAAAAAGAAAGUUCGUGCCAAUAUGUCAUUUCACAAGAAAAGACGAUUGUUUACAAACAAACAUCGAAAUAAAGUAUUUCAAUUGGUCACAUAACGUGUAAUGUAAAAAAAAAAAACAAAGAUAUUGUUAAUGAUAAAAAAUAAACUAGUUUACUUGGAAAAUAUAAUAUUUAGCUGUAAAGUGCAUUUGAUGCAGAUUAAUAGAUGAUGAAAUUACAAAUUCAAUCUGCUCUCUUAAAGGGGAUCGGUGUUUGAGAGGUCUACCAAAGUUAUCUUUUGUAUGAGUACCAGUUCAAACUUCGUAAGUGACACUAAAACUUUUAAUUAUUCAAUAAAAAAAAUAACCAAAGAAAUCAGAGAAUUAUAAUAUACCAGUUUGUCUUUCAGAAUUACAUGUAGCAGUAUUAUUUAAAAUAAACUGCUGAUUUAAAAAUUUAAGAAAGUUAUUAUAACAAAAAAAAGUGAAAGAAAAUGGAGAGUGUGUGGAUUCAUUAGAAGCGUGUUUAAGUCAAAACUGUUAACAACAUUCAAUCCGGUUGAGUUAUUCAUCAACUACUUAGAUUUCAGUAAUUGUGGAUGAAUGUUUCCCUCAGUUUUAGUUUGUAACACGGAUUUCUUUCUCAAUUGAUUGAUGAAUUUCGAACAGCAGUAUACUACUGUUGCCUUUAUUUACAAUAGAUACAAGAUUAACAACUAUUUAGAUAUAUUUCCAAAAAGGUUCAUAUGAACUAUUAGAAUGUCGAAAUGUUCGCGAUACAACAGCAUCGAAAUAUCGACAAUUGCAUGAAUGUUAAUUUUGAGGACUUACAUUUUUCUGUCUAUUUAACUGACCUUGUGGCAGUUAUUCGAAUUAAUGAAAACAGAAAUCGAAAAAUGUUAAUUAAAGUACUCAUAAUUAAAAAAAAAUAAGGAAGAAUGUUUUUUUUAGAUAAAUUGACUGUUAGCAAAUAAUAAGGAUUUUCUUAUCUAAGGCAUAGAUAACCUUAACCGUAUUUGGUACAACUUUUUUUUUUUAAUUUGGGGUCAUCAAUGCUCUUCAACUUCGUACUUGUCUGGCUUUCUAACUAUAUUGAUCUGAGCAUCACUGAUGAGUCUUAUGUAGACAAAACACGCGUCUGGCGUAUUAAAUUAAAAGCCUGGUACCUUUGACUACUAUUAAAACGACAAAAACUUAAAAAAACAAAAAAAAAACACAGGUGGAAGAUAGUGAGAAAUUUUAAAAUUGGAAGACAAAUCUAAACUGAAAAUAUUGCACGAGUAUUGUCCUUUUUAGAAUAUAAAUUACCCGUAAAUAUCUUGCAAUUAAUUAUAAUGUAAUAACUCUUAUGUUUUCUAUACAGACUUUUAGUUUGACUGUGCCAAUCCGACAUUGUUAUUCUCUCUUUCUGGUCAACUUUUGUUUACUGUAUGUUUACACUGUAACGAUUUAACUUGCGAUUUUAUUUCCAUCAUGAUUGUUUUUGGUAUAUGUUUUUCUUAUUCCAUGGGAGCUAUUCAAUUAGUGCUUCAAGAUGGUGAAAGUGUAAUCAUUCCUUCACACGGUCCUCGCCAAGUUCAUUCAUUUCUUUUUUACACUCACUCUGGACGAUUUUAGCUUUGAGCUUUGAUCUAUCAUAGUUUCCUCGGUAGAGUGUUACUGCUACCAAGGAAUGUAAUGAUUCAAUGAUUCUAAGUGAUAAAGAGUACCAUCAUGAUUUGGUUGACCAAAUAUCUGUAUUAAUUAUGACGACAGUUCUGCUUCCCUUGUCAUAAUCACAAUCCUGUACUCUUUUAGUCGACUGUGACAUAACCAUAUGCGACUUAAGUGGAAAUGCAUCCUUUGUAUAGAUGAAUGUUAUGAAAGAAUCAGGAUCAAAUGAAGGAACAAUCGGUGGAAAAAAAUGGACAAUUUAAUUAUGACUGUCGUUAAAAAAUACCCAUCAAUUAAACGUACCAUAUGUUUUGCUAAAAAAAUCAAGCAUCAUGAUUAUGCCAGUUGGGAUAACUUUAUGUUUGAGUAAAUGUGGUCUUAACAAAGAAUAUACGUUGGACUUACCCUUACCAAAGUCAUUGUUAUUUUUUCAGUCAAUUCUGUCAUUUUUUUUUUAUAGAAUACUCCUGUGUUAAGGUAACAUAGAUAUUUUUUUAUAUGCCUUUAAAAAAAACUUUUAUUUAGUCUAACAGAUCAUUAGAUGCUUUACUAUCCAUAUAUGAUUCACACUGCACCUGGGGUAGGAUGUUUUACAGUAACCACGAACCCAGUUUUCAUUGCUAAACGGACGCAAUAAAUGUGCGUUAUUGUAAAAAAAAGUGUCCGAAAAGCUUUUUUGAAGUUAAAGAAGAAACAAAACAUUGCAUAAAGGACACGUGUGUGUUAAAAGAGAAUUAGAGGAACUUUAAUGUCUGAUUAAUCAUCUGAUUGAAUUUCUAAAGUUCGAAAAAGUUUUGCCGAAUACAACCAUAGUAAUCUAUUCCUAGAGUGGUCAUGUAUUUAUAAGUACAUUAUAAAAGUGCAGUUCUGACUCAACCAUCCAUCCUUUAUGUAAAUUCAAACAUUAUUAAAAAAAAAUUUGAAUAUACAGACUUAUUAACAAGUCAUAAAACACCGCUUUAUCUCAAUAUCUUUUCGAUCUCAGUCCUUUUUCCCCUGUAUGUAUCCAUCAGUCUCGAUAUUGAUAGAAAUGCAGAUAUUAUUUUAAUUAAGUUAUUUGUUUUUAAUCAACAGUGCUAACACUGAUAAUACAAAACGUAAGUGAUGUACAUUUCCAGAAUACUUUGUCUCAAAGGGAUGUGUUCAUCGUUUAUAUUAAAUCAGAUAUUCCCACAAGAAGGAAACUUUAGAAUCGUUUCUCAACAAAUUAAUCAACCAUUUUAUUUCGAACGUACAGCGUAUAAAUAAAUAUUGAUUUAAUGACAAAAGACAACUACAAUGUUAAUUGUUUCUGAAUACAAAUCAUUCUGCUUUCUAAUUAUGUAUUAUCUAGGAUUGACAUAAGGGUGUCGCGGUGUACUGUAGAAGGACAGUAUUUAUAAACUUUAUAUGCAUAAGGAAAGAAAGGCAAUUAGAAACCCAUGCAUUGCAGAUAAGGAGAAGUGUAGGACCGAAACCUCUUUGAAAACUUAUGAAAAAAAGACGGAAUAUUAAUUGAAUAAAUAAUCUGAAUAGAAGCGACGCUUAAUUAAAGGGUCGCUACGUCUGAAUUUUUUUUAAUCAUUUAAUGCAUUUUGGCAGAUCAAUUAUGGUUAUUGUAAUGCCGUUUUUAGUACGGAGACAACAUUUCCUUAUGUUUUAAUUGUGUUGAACAUAAUUUGCAUUGUAUGGCAUGUAGUGUUGAUGAAUCGUUCAGCAAAUAUUAAUCUACUAUUCGAUCAGUCAAAUAGAACACACAUAUUCAUUCACAGUUAUUCUGGAGUAUUUCAUCUUUAUACCAUCACACGUUGGUUGACCGUUAUGGAAUAACCGUUUCACACAGAUAUCGGGUAUGUUCCUUACGUCGUAACUACAAUCCCCUUCCCUUUCAUGAAUAUGACCUACCGAAUUAGACUAUUCACCGGAUUUGUUAUAACAUGAGCAACACAACGGGUGUUACAUGUGAAACAGGAUCUGCUUUCUCUUUCAGAGCACUUGAGAGCACCCCCAGUUUUUGGUGGGGGUUCGUGUUGCUUAUUCUUUAGUUUUAAAUGUUGUGUCAUGUGUACUAUUUUUUGUCUGUUGGUCUUUUUCAUUUUUAGCCAUGGCGUUGUCUGUUUAUUUUCGAUUUAGGAGUUUGACUGUCGCUUUUGGUAUCUUUCCUCCCUAUUUUAAUUUAUACUGAGUGACCAGUAUAUUAGAAAAUCUCUGCAACUUUAAAUUUUCAUACAUGGUAACAUAUAUAUAGUAAAAACAUGGUGAUCAAUAUGUUGUACCUCUAACUAUUAAUAUUGAUAAAAAGAAAAUAUAGUGAUUAUUAUCCCUUAAAUGAACCGUUUUUCUAUAAUUACGUGAGUUGUUUUUCGAGGUCAAUCACAUUUUGAAUUUAACUUAUUAAAUUAAUAAAUACAUCGCUAACAUUUGUGACUUUACAAUAUCAGCUAUUGACUACUUGUAUUACUGGCAUAAUAGUGUCAACCUGCUUCGUACAAGGUAUCAGCUGUAUGAACUUUCCGCAUAUUUUAAAAACAUUUAGGUUGUUUUAAUGACUGAUUAUUCCUCUUUUUGUGGACUUUGAAUCGACGGAACCAGUUUAAGUGAGUUCGAUUAUUGUUGAACUGUUACCCAAUACAACAUGCAGUUAAAACGAAUAUGACAAAACCCCUCAGAGGUAAAAUACCAGUAUUUCCAUUUUGAAUUGUUCUUCAAAAUCCCUGAUUUUGAUCAGUAAUGGCCGUCAUUCAAAGUAAACAUUCACAAUUUAUUAUACCGAGGUAAAACUUUAUUCCGGGAGUCUAGUUUUAUGUUAAUUUUGAACAAUUGAGUUAUUUUAAUUGAUUUAAAUGGGUGGUUACCAAAAUAUUUUUUUAUACAGAACUAUUUAAAUAAUGAAUGAAAACAAUAUAAUUACAAAUUUACUGUUUCAUCAAAUCUUCAAUUAUAUGAAGCACACAUGGUUUUUCAACAACAAGUCGUUCUGUUGUCCGUAAUCUGAACAAAUUUUCGGAAUUAUCGGUUUGUUAAUUUCCUUCACCUUUGUAAUUGAAUAGGCCUUCAAUCUGAUUUAAUUAGAUUGCCGCUGAAGAUGUGUGUGUGUAUACAAGCGGGGUAGAAGAUACCAUAGGGACAGUCAAACUCAAAAUGCUCAUCUGCCGUACCAAAUAUAAACCUGGUUCAAUAAAUGAUUUGUAUACAGCUACUAUGUCCAUUCCAAUGUUAUUGGUCGUCUCGUAUACGAGAGUAUGACAAGCCCCGUUGGAAGCACUCUUGUGCUGACAGGAAAUGUUACGUAUAUAUAUUUAUUUUCAUUAAAUGUAUCGUUUAAAAAUGUUGAGUUAUUCGAAGCAUUAACGUUUUUCUACUCAAGGAAUUGGCUUAGCUGUAUCACAUUAAUUUUCGAAUUUAUCAGUUUAAAAUUCUCUUUGUAUUUGAUUUGGAGGUUAAACUGUUCCAUUUCGAGCACCACUGCUGAUUCCCAUUGAAAGGAAAUGCGAGUCUUGUUUCCUCGAAAUAAGCCUAUAAUUUUAAAGGAUUUUUUAUUUCGACGCCAGGGUCAACGACACUGCGGACGGACAUUUCGUCUACGAUGCUUUACCAGUCAAGUAGUCAGCACGUUUUUGAUUACAUGUACUAUCAUUAGUUCAUAAUCUUAAAAUUUACUGUAAAUAAUUAACCAAGUUUAAUCCUCCCUGGCAAAAAUUCCCAUAAUCGUAUUUGGAAGAACGUUUUGAAAUUUACAGUCGUUUAUGCUCUUAAAUUUGAAACUUGAUUUCCAACUGUUCCGGUUUGAGGGGGCAUUAGUCUUCUGUAGACAAAACGCUUAUUAUGCGUCCCAAAUUAUAAGUCUGUUAUAUUUAAAGAGUAAAUACAGGAAUAUGAUGUGUCGCGCGAGCGCAAUAUCAUAUCCUUUUUUUUUCAUAAUGGACGGCUUCCAAAUGUUUGAAAAAUGUUGUUCUUGAAAUAGAAAUGUCAUAACAACAAAACUCUGAACUCUAUUGGGAAAUGAAGAUAAUACUCAUUACAAAAAUAUAUAUAUGAUAGAUGUGUUUAUACAGUUGUUUUCUAAAAUCAAGAUCCUAUCUUAAAUAUAUACAUGAAAUGAUAUAAUAUCAUGACGAACUGACAGUAUCUGUCUGUUUGAAGUCGUAGAAAUGUAAUUUCAAUUCAUAGUGUUUGAGAUCCUGCUAUUUGAUUUAUCAAUUGUUUGCCUUUUGAUUUCACAUUAAGUAAUUUUAUAAGACUUGUAACAGUAUGUCUUUCAUUGAUUAUUUACCAAUGCUCAAAGAAAAAGAAAAAUCGAACACUUUUGAAAUUGACAGAUCCGCUGCACAUAUCUUUCAUCCAUGCAUAUAAUAAAAAUUGUAUUACCAACAACUGUUUGUCGUACGCAGUGUGUGUUAUCUAUUUUAGUUUGUUUGUAUAGUUUGCAAGAGUAAAUUCAACAGCUUUAUAAAUAUAGAAAACAUUACUAAUUAUAGCUGCCAAAUCUUUUAUUAACGAUGUUAUUAUGUACUAUACAUAAGAAAACCCAAUUUCAUUCGAUCAGUCUAUUCGUAAGAAUUAUUUACAAUUGUGUAAAAGAAUGUAUCAACGGUUGAUAAUAAAGAUCCGCUAUUUGCGAGUAUGAUCUCAAAAGACUCGAUAAUAGUCCGUCGGAAGGAGACGAUAAAUGACUGACCCGUGUUAAGAGAGAGCCAUUUAUUUUGCAAAAAGACACCCUUAUAGAUUUCAAAAAAGAGCAGGCUAAUGCCGCUUCAAGGCAGCACUCGCAUUUCCAAAGUGACAAGGGAUUAAUAUAAGUUGCAAUAACUUGUUUCCCAAUCCACUAUAAGUAAACAUGUUUAAACUAAUAAAGAUCCGCAAUUCAGGGUUCUUCUAUUUUUAAAUUAACUGGACCAUGAUUCUUCUUUAUCUAUGAAAGUACUCAUCAUCGAGGAAAUUAAUCACCACACAAACAGCCCUGUACUAAGUACUCCUUUCCGUAAAGAUAGAGACUUUCUGGAUAAGGGAAUUAGGGACUGCAACGCCAUAUACUUGCAAUGACAAUGUCAAAGGAGUAUGAAAUUUGUUCUGCCUGCAGUGAUGUUAAUGUAAUGAUUUUAUUUAAUACUGCCUUACGGCAACAACGUAGUCAUGGGCAAAAACAUUACCAUCGGCCUAAUAUUAAAAAGUCUUCCAAAUCUAGAUCGCCCUCUGGGAACUUUGAUGACUUUCUUUUACAUCUUCAUCAUCCAUUAGGGUUUCAUUGUAUUAUUAUUAUUACUACUAUUCUUUUUUCACUGCCUGUUAAUUUUCUUAAAUGUUUGAGAGAUUAUGCACUUGACAAAGGAGGCAUCAAUACGUUUUCUCCAAUAUACAGACUUGUCAGCAUAAUUUGUGAUGGAGCUCUUUUCCGUCUUUUCAAAUCAGUAAGAUCGGACUUUUUCUUAUUCACUUUACAAAUAGAGGAAUUGAUGUAAUCAACAUCUGCAACGUUCUUUUUCACAAAGAGGUAACAUCUAAAAUUCCUAUUUAUUUUCAAAAUCAGUCAGUUCCUGUUGUAUCCUACAGUUACACCAAACCAAUUGCACCCAAAAUAUUUAACUAUAAACAAGCAUUGCAAGGCCUUGAACAAUACAAAAAAAAAAAAAAACUCUGACAUGUGACUGUUCCCAUUCGCCUUAUACUUUCAGCCCCUCUGGUCAUGUUAUUAUUGGGGAUCUAAACAUUAUUCAACAUGAAAAUCUCCGAAAGGUGAUUUCUCAUGAUCCUAAGUCUAUAGAACCCCGAGACAUCAAUUGGAACUAUCACUUCAAAAUAAUUAUGGAUUCCAUUGAGGACUACUCCAGAGCAUGGACUGAACGAGAAGAAGUUGAACUGAACAUUUUAUCAGAACGGGUCAAAACUGUCAGAUUUCUGAUUAAACGUCGCAUGUUUAAGUUGAAACAUUUGUGUGAACGAUCGACCAAAGUCCGUUUUCAGAGAAAAAGAGGCAUUGAAAUGUCUAUCAUUUCUUCAUGAUGAGUAUGAUGUUGUUCAUCCGGACAAAUCGUCAAAUAAUAUUGUCUUUGUAUGUUAAUCGUAUUACUACGAAUGUCUUGUGUUUCUUUGGUACAUAUGACGUGGCUCUGUACUAUUAAAGAUCCCGUCAUUGUUACUUUUCUAUUAUAAUGCCAUCAUGUUAUUGUCCUAUUAUAUUUUUAAAAAUACUUUGAACGACAAAAUUAUUUUACUCUCGUAGUGUUAUUAACCAUAUGUGGAUUCUUAAAAUUUCUAUCUGGAUAAUUUUAAAUCUCGGUCUUUUUCUGAAAUUUGUUCUUACAAAACUUUACAUUUUUAACCCUGUAUGCCACCAUUGCUAAUGUGAAAUUUAUUUUUUUAAAAUACUUGGAACGACAAAAAUAUUUUAUAUUUCUUCCUGUGUGACUUUUACAUUUUCUGGCGUCAAACACGCGAAGCAAUGAAUGUGGUUGUUAAAUUUGAUAGAUGUUUUUUGUACUUCUGAAUAUUUGUUUGUUUUGAGAUUGUGAUUGUGAGAAGUGUAGCGCUUACGCCAAAAAAACAGGUUCUUUACACCAUUUUCUACAUUUGAAAAUGCCUGUACAAAGUCUAGAAUAUGGUAGUUGUCCAUUCGUUUGGUAUGUUUUAUCAUUUGACUUUGCAAUUUGAUUAGGGACUUUCUGUUUUGAAUUUUCCUCCGUGUUCAGUAUUUUUGUGAUUUUACUUUUUACAAUGUUAUUUAUUCAUAUGAAUAUAAUGUAAAGUACGAGAAUACAACAGUUUACUGUCAACCAGACAAUCAUUUUUGUGUGUUAGAUUUUAUUCGUAACCAUUGAACAAUAUGAAAAGAAAACACUCUGAGAAUAGCUGAUUUAUCAAUAACAAAUCAAAAGCACAUAAAAUAGUUUGUUUAACCUGUGUUUGCACGAGGCUGGUCUCUAGUGGAUAACGAAAAAAGUAUCUAUAAGUGCCCAUGCUUAUGGUUCAUUUAUUCUUUUUUAAGCAUAACAAAAAGCAAAUAAAAUAUUGCAACAUGUAUAAUAUAUCUUAAAAAUGAUAAUAUUUGUUGUCAUGUCCUGCAGCCCAAUAAUACAAGCUUAUCAAAAUAAGCAUAUGAGUACCGUUACUUAUAAUUUCAUACUUAUACAUCAUUUGGUCUCUCAUCUCAUAGACAAUUAUACCACAUUAUUUUGUAUUUCUAUAUGGGAUAACAAUUUGAUUUUAUCGAAAAUGAACCAUCAAAACGAUUAGAUUGCUGCAUUUGAUUGUUUUACAUUAACAUAAGACAUUCACAAAGUCCAUACUUCUCAAUUUCUCAAUUUUUACGACCAGUUUGUAAUUAAUGGUUAAACUAAUGAUGUUUUUGUGGUACAUAAGAUUUUUUUUAUCCGUAUGCUUAUCAGCAAAUGAACUUGAACACAAGCUCCUCCUUAAAGACCAUACUUUCUUUUUCAGAAUAAUGUCAGUUGAAAGCAACAUUUAACAAACCACAUGCAUUGAGCUCACUUUACACUUGUCUCAUCGGCACAUGCAAAAUAAAUCAUUAGUACAUGCAAUAUAAAUUAUCAACAUUAGCUAAAACGAUUUGCAUGAUAGAUUCCUUUGAAUGAAACUAUUAAGCCAAUUCGUUUAAAUGAUUAAGCAAGGCAGAGAGAAUUAAAGUCGUGUUUAUUUUGUGUCAUAGCUAUAUUAUUCAAUAAGUUCUAAAUGCUUUUAAUGUAUUUUACACACGAUAGGUUGUAGUGACUUAACACUGAAACAGAUUUGAUAACAUUUAAAUGAUCAUGCUCGUAUCUGCUGUUCAAUUGAUUCGUGCGUAAACUGUGUGACAGCUGUGGUCAUCAGCAGGUAAUACAUACUUUGAUUUUAUCAGAUAGUUUGAGAUCACAGUCUUCAUAUUCAAUAAUUAAUUUUGAAAUGGUACACAAAUAUUCUAUGUAAAGUUAUACAUUUGGUGUAAAGGAUGUUGAUCUCAUCAUUAAUCAGUGUCAUUGCCUGUUUGAUGCGAUCGUUUUGUUAUCUUUUUUGUUUAUGAAAUAAAAAUGGGAGAACUUUCUUUAUUUUGAAUGAAUAUGAAGCAUAUUAUUCGUAUAUUUUUUUUCAUAUUUCCAUACCUUAUAUGAUUUAUUAUUGCCUGUACACGUGCUCUUGUGUCAUAAGUUAUUCAUAUUAUUUGAACCACGUGACUUUGGCCCUUAAAUCAAAAUUGCAGAUAAAAAGAAAAUAUUUAAGAACAACUUAAGAAAUCAUGUAAGAUCAAAGUUGUUUCACAUGCAAUUCAACCUAAAAGGUAUUUCCCUAUGUGCCAAAAAAAUGAACCAAGAACUAAUUCGGGAUAUGUACAUACAUCCCUUUUAUCAAAUUGUUCAUGCAUUUCGAAGGUCACUACUAAAAUGGCAGCAAACGGAUAAUUUUGAUUCUCUCAGUCAAUAUGGAUUGCCAAAUAAAUACCUAUGCAUUUAUUUUUUAGUAAAAGCAAUAACACUUUUAAAACUAUGAUUCCCAUAUGUUUAUUUUUCCCCGUGUUUAUAAGGUUCAUUUUAUAUGGCAAUUGGAAACCAAUCUUUACUUUAAAAAAUCAUAAAAUACCUUAUUUUAUCUCUUUAAAACGAGAGUCAAAUUUGCAAGAUUUAUUUCUCAAAUAGACAUGUUCAUCAAAAUUUGUUAGUUUUGAUAAAAAAAAAAAAAAAACACGAAUGAGAUUUACCAAUAUCGUCACCCUCCGGUAAACAAAGAAACAGACAAGGAGCCUUCCCUUAUAUAUAUAUAUAUAUAUAUUAUAUAUAUGAAUAUUGAGUAUAUAUAUAUAUAUAUAUAUAUGAAUAUUGAGUCAUAUGGGCAAUCUUAACUUAUUAUACAAUGUUGACAAACGGACGGACAAAAUGUUGAUAUAGGGCACCACGGACUACUCGUCUUUAUCUUAACUAAAAACUGAUACCGUUGAAAUAUCAUAUGCAAACUAUGUAAAAUCAACUAUUGGAUGAUAUAUGAUCACCUGAUUGAACUGAUCAACCUCCGUAAAUGAUAAAAAAGACGAGUUUCACAUGUGGAACAGGAUCAACUUAGCCGUCUAGAGCACCGAGAUUGCAUUGCUCGGUAUUUCUGUAUUUUGUAAACUAUUGUUGGUUUUGUUUUAUCGUUCCUAGUUUUUUGCUCUGACAUCGUCAGUUUGUGUUUGAGUAAUAAUAUCAGAUUAUUACAUGGCAUUUUUCAUAUCGCAUGUAUUAUCAGCCCUAGGUUCAAUAUCAGCCCAAGAGCGCAUGGUCGAGGGCUGAUAAUAAUGCGAUAUGAAAAAUGACAUGUUAUGAUCUUUUUAUCAUAUGCUUCAACAGUAGAAGAAAAUAAAAGAUUCAUAUAUUAUCCUUCUAACGUGGUUCCGAAAGAAGUGAAAGAGUAAAAGUUACGGACGUCGGACCCAAAAUUUGAUACAUUCAAUAUGAAAUCUUUCGUCAAUAUGCUCAACAGAGAAAAAAAACCAGAUUUUAAUAUAAACGAAUCGACAAAAAAAUAGUUCAACAAUAUACAUAAUGAACAUUGUUUGGAAAAGUCAAAUUUUCUAAAGUAACUUUCUAAAUUAUGUUUCAGAAAAACUUAAAAAAUGCAUUUAUUUAAUAUUUUUUUUUAAAUAAAAUUUAAUUAUUUUACACAAUAUACUUUCCAGUAUUCAAAUAAUUGUUUUGUACACUACUUUGUAAUGUUUUUCAUUGAAAACGUAGCAUUGAGGUGUAUUUUCCGGAAUUUGCCGAGUAUCACGGAAUGCAUGUGAUAAGUUACGGAAAGGCAUGUGAUACAAUCGAAGCAUGUGAUAAACUUUUCAUAUAGCGCUAAGCCAAUUCGAAAAAUGGAAAAUACUUUAAUUUAAUCUAUUAUCAUCCAACGGUAAAAAUCAUAUGUUAUUUAGUCUAAGUAUAUGAUAAUUUCGAAUAUCCCUUUGUUGUUUUUUGCCUUGUAUAAGGGUGAGUGUUUCAAUAAAACUUCAUUAUAUAAACAAUAUACAACGAGAACAAACGUUUCAGAACCUAGAUGAAUAAAAAGUUAUGGAGCAUCAUAAACAUUGGGUCCUUACAAAAAUUUACCAAAGAUACCAGGAUGAAAGUGUUUACGCCAAACUUCAAUAAAUUAAAUAAUAUAUCAAAACUGGUUUUAUUUGUCGAAUAGCCAAUUAACAUUCUUUUUAUAUUUUGUAUAAUGAAUUUUAAAAUGUCUUUUGGUAUUUUAAAUACAUAAAUGUACUAUAAUUAUUCUUAUUACAGUAUUGCAGAAGAUUUUUUUCUCAGUUGUGAUUUUUCCUACAACCGAAAUUUCGUUACGUUGGGUCAUAUUUCUUAAUUAAUAAGUAUGACACUUAGACACUCAAAUUUUCAAUAACAGUCGAUUUAGAAAAAAAUGGUCAUCAUAUUUUGUCCUCCCAAAAUGAAUUAAGGACAUUAUAAUUUAACAAGAAGGUACAUAGCUUGCUUACAUGUAUAACUAAUCUUGAUAAUAUAAAAUAGUCAUUUGGUUUCACAUUCAGUCAAUACAAAAGUUUACAAUAUGUCCUUAAAACACUUUGCAGAAGAGCAAAUUAUUUAUACGAUAUAGAUAUAUUGAACAACGUUUUUACAAGUAUUGCAAAUACUUAAUGUCUUUUGACGUAAUGUGCAUCUGGCGAACACAAUUUCAAUCGUUGUAUUUGUGAUGAUAUUAUAAACCGCCACUUUGUCGAUGAUUCUGUAGAGGUUUACCUGUUUGAUGAUAUUACCAUUUGAGAAGUCAGCACUGUGUUAACAUGUAUUUUCAUUGAUAUGGUAAUUAUUAUAUAUGAACAGUUUACAAAACUUUUUUUUUCGAAACGCUUCGGAUUUUCUACACCAGAAAUAGAUAACUUAAGCAGUAUGCUGCAAAACUUUUCGGAAAUUCGGGUCAUCGAUGCACUUCAACUUCGUACUAUAUCAGGCCUGUUUUUCUUUUAAUUCGAGAGUCACUGAUGAAUUUUAAAAACAAAACGCACGUCUGGUGUAUACUAAUACAAUUCUGGUAUAUUUGAUGAGUUUAUUUACAACAAUGGGUCGAUGUCACUGCUGGUGGAGGUUUGACACCGAGUGUAUCACUAGUUCAAUAGUUUGCACAUCUGUGUUGACACGAAUCAUCACUGAUAUGGCCAUAAUUAUAUAUUAACUCUCUUUGUACAAAAGCUUGGCAAUAUUUUUUGUUUCUCAGCGCUCUUCAGUUUCGUACUUUAUUUGACCUUUUAAUCUUUUUUAUAUUCAAAUGUCACUGGUAAGUCUUUGUAGAAGAAAUACGUGUCUUCGGUUAAAUGAUUUAUCCCGGUAUCUAUAUGAUCAGUGUAUCAACAACCACUAGGUAUAUACUACUUCGUGUGGCUGUUACCUUCCCAAUAGUAACAGCCAAGUAGUAAGUGUUGGUAUGAAUUAUGAUUGAUAUUGUCAUUAUAUCUCUAACUGUUUAAGAAUAUAGUAUUGUUCAAGAUACAAUAACUUUCUAACCGAGGAAUAAUAUUGCCGUAGUUGUGUUUGGCAAAACCUCUAGGAAUUUUGGACCAAUAAAUACUUCAUUUUUGUUUUUUAACCUUUUCAAUUGAGCGUCACGAAUAAGUCAAUUUCGGACGAAAAGUGAGUUUUGAGUCAAUCAAAUAUUGAAAAUCCGAAUCGAGAAACAUUUUUCUUAUGUGGAGUCGUCGUAAUUUCUAAUAUGAAAUUGCAAAUACUCAGAUAAUCCACGAGGAAAAUACAUUUUUUGGAUUUAUUUUUAUAUUCAUAGGUUCAGUCCGAAAUUAAAUCCAGUUUUACGUAUUAACAUUAUUCAAUAGAGAGUUAAAUUGAUUAUUAUCCACCUUUCAAUGUAGUUCUAUAGCAGAAAAAGGUUUACAAGCACUAGUUAAACGACCAACAUAGUAUAUUUUUUAAUGGACAUAUAAACUGUUAACCCAUCAUUCGAAUAUAACAUAAAUUAAGUCUUGAAAACUUGCUCAUUAUCAAAGUAAGAGCAAACGUGUAUGUCCUAGUAAACAAUGUACUGGUAAAUUCUCUUUUGUAAAUGAAUAAUCAAAUGUUAUUUAUUUUAUCAUAGAUUCCAUAAUUAUUUUAAUGUAGUUGCGAUAUUUUUUUACUUAACGUUUUGUGUUAUUUGAGUAUACUUAACGUUUCGUGUUAUUUGAGUAUGCAAUUUUAUCCUACUGCUUACUGUCAAAACAUUUUUUUCAGACAUCUUCCGAAAUUUUCAACCAUAUGUGUAUAAGAUAAAAGUUAUAUGACAUCUAUUAUUUGCUCCAUUUGUUGUUUGACAGUUUUUCUGAACUUACCCUUUUUGAGUUAGCCUUUGGUUUCGGUAAAGUUAUCAUACUUUUUUAUAUGUGAAGAAUGAAAUAAAUCAUAUUGUAUAGACCGACCCUAAAUUCAUUCACAUUGUUGUCAUCGACAUAGCAUCUUCAAUUUUUAUAUUACUAAAUGAAUACCCGAUGUUUAUUUACAUACACGUAGACUGUAUAAUGGUGUUUAAAUCCUUAACACUAUCUUACAUACAAUUUUGUACAUUGUUUUAACACUCUUUAUAACAGAUGUAAUUUAAUAAUAUGCUUAGAUUGAAGAAAGUAUUAAGAAUUGUGCUUAGAGUCAUGUUUAAUUUAUGAAUUGUUAUGUCCUAAGUAAAGGAAACAGUAAUAUACCGCUGUUCGAAAUUCAUCAGUCGAUUGAGGAAAAACAAAUCUGGGUAACAAACUAAAACUAAGGGAAACACAUCAAAUUUAAGAGGAGAAAUAAUACACAACAGAAACACUAAAAUGCAACACACACAGAAACGAACUAUAAAAUAACAAUAGCCAUUUGCCUGACUUGGCCAGGACAUUUUAAGAAAAAUGGUGGGUUGAACCUGGUUUUGUAGGUAGCCAAACCUCCCACUUUAAUGACAAUGUUAAAUUUAACACUUACAAGACAGCAUUACAUGACAAGACUACAAUACAAGUAAAUGGAAGACAAAACAUGCAAUAUUACGACAAGGUUAUAGUUAUUAAAGGUACAUGACUUAUCAUGUAAUAAAAACUUUCAAUUCUUAAACACUUUUUAAAGUGUUAAUAUUCAAGACAUGUGUACAUUUAAUGAUUUCACUUAGAAAAGAGUUUAGAUAAUAUUAUAACUCUAAAUACUAAAGGCUUUUCAAAUAGAUGAUUGCUUGACAUAUUGAUUGUUAUUGGUUCUCCUUUAUCUGACCUAAUCAAAAACUUAACUUUAAGUAAUCCAACACUUUCGGAGUCAAUGAAGCAUUAUUCAGGUGUUGAGGCCGAAUAAUCUCCAAACUAAAAGUAUUAGAAAAGAAAAAUGAUUCUUAGUUCAUAACUACAAAAUUAUGUUCUUACAUUCUACAUGUUAGCCUAUCGAAUGCAGUUCUUAGCCUUUUUGAUCUUCAUGUAUAAUUUUAUUAAAUUGCAAUAACAUUACACCUAUUAAAGAAGUUCAAAAGAUGUGUACAAAAUUCCAGUAUGGAGAAGUUUUGUCUUGCUUGUAUGACAUAAUGGAGGCGUGCUGUUAUCGUUGUCGUCAGCGGUGUCACCACUUUUUUUUUUUUUAAAUAAUUGAUAAGGUAAGUUUUUUUUCUAAAAGGAAGAUACAUGAGUCAAUGGAUAGUUGGUUUGAAUUUGUAUUAUCAUUGGCAUAUUCGUUUGGAGAUUAUUCGGCCUCAACACCUAAAUAAUGCUUCAUUGACUCCGAAAGUGUUGGAUUACUUAAAGUUAAGGUUUUGAUUAGGUCAGAUAAAGGAGAACCAAUAACAAUCAAUAUGUCAAUAAUAUGUGUCAUGCAGUUGUAAAUGUAAUAGCAUUAUCAUAUUUCAUUUCACAGAGAUUAUUGGUCCCUUUAACUUCAGCCAUGAAUGUUUUGCAUAAUAAAUGCAUGAAAAAAGUAUUUUCGUUGUAAUAGCAAAAAUUGAAUAUAACUAUAAAAAAUAAUAUAUUGAUAUAACAGAUGAAAUGAACGUAUAUCUGUGUGAACACUUUAUUAACCUAGAAUGACAUAUUGAUUUAAAACCCAAACUUGAUCAAUAUUGCACUCCUUUAUAAAUAUAUAAUUGGCUUAUAAAAUAUGUACAUCAUAUAAGUCAAUUUAAGUUAUUUUUUUUUGCCUGUACCGUCGAAUCUGUCGUACAUAAUUGUCGAUGUUCCUACUUCAUUUGCAGUGUGCAAUAUUAUCGUAUUUUAAAAUAUAUAUAUAUACAUAUAUAUAAAAAUAUUUAUAUAUUUCGCAUUGAAAUUCUUUUUCUUAAUGAAAGCAUUUCACUAUUUUAUUAGAAAAAAAGUCGCUCUCAUAUAAGACAUUCGUAUUCCACGUGAUAAUGGGGUAGCAUGGAAUCGAAUAAGUUAAAUAUCCAUAUGCAUUCCAACGACUCUUUUACAUACUAUUAAAGUAUUUAGACACCUCAAAAUUAUAGAUCCUACAAAUAUAGUUUAUUUAGUGCAAAUGCAUAUUAAUUCGUAUACAUACUACAUACUAUUAAUUUUCAAAAUACAUGGAAAAUUGAAUCUUUACGUUUAACUUGUUAACUACGUCUGUGUUGUCAAAGGAUUGAACUUUUCGAUUAAGUUUUAUUUAUUCCUUCAAAGGGCUAAAUUCGUCUGAGAUUUCCCAACACUACAUCUCAUUUCCAAAAAAAAAUAUCGCUAAGUCAUAUUAACGGAUUUCUCGAUUCUCACUUUACACUGACCGGGAGUACAAAAUUUUAAUCCUGGUAUCGAUGAGUUUAUUUGAAAAGGUCUUUUUAGGUCUUAUCAAAACGUCGUAAGUCACUGAAUGUUAGAAACGACCAUGCCUUUUUCGGUUAGAAGUAUGUGUUCAUACAUUUUAAGUUCACAAGAAAGUGACUUAUAAUACGCCCGUUUCAUGAUUUCAAUUCAGUUUUGAUUUUAAUUGACAAGUGUAUACACACUAAGACAAGUUGUAUCAUGCGAUUUUACAUUAUUAUUUUCAGCUGCUCACUUGUUUCCUUGAAUAUUGGUCGCUACAUGUUCUCAUUUUAUUUACAAUUUUCAAUGAAACGUAAUGAAUAUACAAGAAAGAUAAGUGAUGUUUCAUUUGUCAAUUCAAUUUUGUCAUAAACGAUGAAAAAAAUGUCAGACAAUAUUUUCAAAAGAAUGUAUUAAAAUUCCCACACUUUUUAGUGCAUGGGUCUUCUUUUGUUGGUGAAGAACAGCGUCCGUCCGUAUACAUAUCAUUGUCAAAAUGCAGUCAACACAAGUGAUUACAGGGCUAAACAGUAGAAGUGAAUAACGAACACAACUAAUUCAAAACCCGAUAUAGAAAAACAUCAAUGAAGCAGUGCAUCCUGUUACACAGAGUCUUUCAGUUUAUAUGUUCAUUAUAAGAUUAAAAGUUGAUGUUUGUGACAUAAUAUCUGAGUUGAAGAUAAUGUUCUGUAAUUACUAGAUUGUAUCUGUCCUCCGAUUUUCAAAGGAAUUAAAUACAAUUCCCUGUUGGUUUAAUACUGUAAACUUAUGCUGACAGGCAAAUCUAAAUAAACAAAUGAUGGGAUAGUAAUUGUUUAUAGUCAUAUAAGCUGAAAUAAAAUCUUGACAUCGAAGGUGUUGACGACCUUUGAGCAAAAUUUACUAGAAUGGAUUUGAAGUUUGUUUCUUGAUUAACUUUAAACCUGAUUUUUUUUAGAAGAACACACGAAUGCUGAAUACAUGAUAUAUAUACAAAAUUAAGUAAUUAAUACUUGUCUGUCGUUUCUGCUUAUGAGCUAGAGCUAUGUCAAUAUGCCUUUUUGUUUUUCUUUGUUGACAUAUUUGAUUGUGUUUUUAGUGAUUAAGAUUAUAACGCAAUAGUGACACUUAUUUGUAACAUUUUAUUUAUCAUGUCUGUUUGUUUUGUUCCCACAUCAUUGUCAAUAUAGAUGAGUUUGUUUUAUGCUUCUGUUAAACAAGUCUGAGGUUAAUCUAGCUAUAAAACGAAGUUUAAUCAAACAUUAACUACACACGAAAUGCCUGUACCAAGUUUAAGUCAGGUAUACUUCCGUUAUUAUACAUUCGUUUGAUGUGUUUGCGCUUUGAAUUGUACCAUUUGUAUAGGGACUUUCCGUUUUGAAUUUCCUCGGAGUUCGAUGAUUUGGUAUUUUCCUUUCUUUCUAUCCGAAGCUCGAGAGUUUACGUAGUCGACAAUAUGUUAUUUAUAUAUAUGUUAAAUCGACAAUAAAAUGUGUUAAGUUUUGCAUGAUUAGUAUUUCAUGUAGUAAUGGGUACUUAUAUUAUAUGUUCUUUUGUCUGUAUGGCUUUAUAGUUGAUAUUGUGUUAUGCUGGAACGCUAGACAACUCGGCCCGGAGACAAGUUGGACCGAGUCCACCCGGACCAUCUAAGAAGACAACUCGGAUCGUAUAAGAAGACAACUUGGGUCGACAAUAAGUUAUGCUUAGUGCUCAAAUCACAUGUAUCUUAUGUGAAUGACUUACUUGUCCUGUUUGUGUACCUCUUAGUUUUACUUAGUGCUCAAAUCAUAUGUAUCUUAUAUGAAAGAUCUAGACUUGCUUGUAUUUAUUUUGUGUACCUGUUAUGUUUUACUUAGUGCUUCAUCAGGCACAUACUUUUCCCCUUUAAAUCAUUUACUUUGUCAAAAGUUUAAUGCUAUACUUAGUCUGCGAUGUUCUUAUUGACGAUCCCAGUUGUCUUAUUGACGGUCGAAGUUUUCUUAUUGACGGUCCAAAUUUUACUUCUUUCACGAUCCAAGUUGUCUCCGGGCCGACCUGUCUUGCACCCUUAUGCGUAGUAGUUUGAGUUUUGAAUUCUGUAUUUCGGUACAUUUAUUACUAGUAUAUGUCUUAUUUGUCUGUUAAGUCGCCUUAAUUUCCAUUUUUUAUGGAUAGAUAUUAUGGUAGUUCAAAAAUAUUAAUUUCAGGAUUACUUUUGAUAAUAGAUACGUCAGAAAAAACGUCCCUUUUGGUGGCCUUAAUCCAUUCAUGUGACUCGCAGUGUGUGGUGUCCUGUGCUAUAAUUAAUUUAUUGUAGAUGUCCGUUGAUAAUCUGCGGAUUACAUGUUGUAAUGUACUAUUAUAUUAUUUAUUUAUGCUUGUAUCCGUGCUGCGUGUUCUAUGUUCAACAGCAUUCGUAAAGGUAGGGUUGUCAUUUAAGCGACAUUUUGUAGCAUUGCCAUAUUAACAGGAGGUUUUACUAGCCAUUGUUAAAUCCACAAUUAUUUUUUAGAAUGUUCUGUGUGAAGUCAAGAAUAUAACAGUUAUUAUAAGAUAGUUUAUAUGUAUGUUGGCGUUUGCUUUUGUUGUAGGUCAGUGUUUCUGUAGUUCCGAUGUUCUUAUAGUUGACGUGUUUUUCUUGGUUAUAGUUUGUAACCCCGAUUAGUUUUCACUGACAGCUACUUUUGCAUAGGUACUAUUUCUGUACCCAAAAUCUGUAGUACUAGAAUUCAACUUUUUUAUAUUUAGUACUAUUUUGUUACUUUAAAAGUGUUGUAAUAUUUAGGUACCUGUAUUUUACAGUACUUGAUUUAUACUUGAAAUUUAAGAACUACAAACAUUUGGUUACAUCGUGAGAUAUUCAGCAUUUUGAAAGUUUGUCUAUUUCAAAUCUUUCUUUAAACAUGGAAUAUUGUGAUCACUAUUGGUAUUAUUUCUGUACCAAAAAUAUGUUGUACAAAUCAAGUACUGUAAAAUACAGGUACCUAAAUAUUACAAUAUAUUUAAAGUAAUAAAAUAGCACUAAAUAUUAAAAGUAAAUUUUCAGAACUAAAUAUUUUAGUGCAGGAAUAGUACCUAUGCAAAAGUAGCUGUGUAUAUAGUGUAAUUUCAUGAAAUUCAAAUAAUUAAUUCUUUGGUCUUGGCAUCGCUUUAAUAACAAUGUCAGUUUCUUGAAAUUAAGCUUUACAAUCUUUCGUAAUCAUAUAAAUAUUGCACAUGGUAUUCAUAUCUACAUAUUUCAUUAAGAUAAGUAUAAUCCCCCGAUCAAAUCGUUUCACUCAAUAAGUACACUGAUCUCAUCUUGUCAAUCGUCUAGAAAUAUUACAAUCUUUUAAAGUCAUUUGAUAGGAUAAUGCAUUUUCUGUAACCUUUCUGUUAUGUUCUAUAUACCAUGAGUGUGUUUAAAUAUGUUAAUGACAGCUUGAAAUAAUACUAUAAAUUGAUCACGUGACCUCUUCUUUUAUCCAAUGAGAUCAAAGCUCACUCAAGUCAAUUUUGCGCUCUGUAUUUAUGAUCGUAUAAUGCUUGAAAGAUAUUACAAGUACUAGCGGACUUGUUAAUUUAAACAACUGCAUUUUUUUUCUGAUUUUUUUCUUUGUUUAUUCAGAACUAAAAGAAGAAACUUUUAGUAUUUUUGUAAAACUGAAGGGAACCUAAAAUUCCCAAUUAACUUUUGAAAAAAGGUUUCUUGAAAUGUAGUAAAAUAGAUUUAUUGCUUUUUGUCAUAAAAUGGAUAAAAAUGUUCAUAACCUUUUACGUUUUUUUUUUUUUUCAGUUUUCUAAAUAUUUCAGAGGCAACCAUCUUUUAAAAAUGGGAUGGAGCUUCAGGCUUAGAAUAACAUGAAAAUGAAUAUGUUGUACCAUAGCUAACCUGCGCCUUUUUUCCUUUGGAUUCUAUUGAAAGAGUAAAAUCACCCUUUUAAGAUGUUACAGUUACACAUUUAAACAUAACAAAUUUUUACUUACCAAUGCAAUGGUUUAGUUAAAUGUCAUUUAUGUGACCAGUAAAGUAAGCUGUAGUAACCCUUGGCAUUUGUGUACGGCCAAACUGAUUUUUAUUGUAAACAUAUAGAUACCAAAAUGUGUUUUAAAUACAUGCAGCCACUUAUAAGCACUUCAUAUAUACGUGUGUCCGAAGCGUUUUUCUUGGUUUAGAAUCACCAGCAACGAUAAAACAAAUAGACCAUCAUACCACAUCUUCUUUUUAUAUAAACAAAAAAUGCCAGGGAUAAAUAAGAAAACGUACAAAUGUUAGAAUAUAUAUAACGAAAAGAAAUCAUGAAGAAUAUCAAUGUCCUUCAGAUGGCAGUUUUCUCUAAGGGAUUUGGAACUUUAGAUUCUAAAUAAUUUCUAAAUCAUAAUUAGUUGACUGGGAUUAUUUUUAAUGAAUGAUACAAAGGCAGGUCAAUGCCGACUUCUGUGUCAUCAGUCCACUAACAUUGAAUAUGCCUAACCCUAAAGAUUAGCUCGUUAUGAAAGUAAAAAUACGUAGAAAGAUUAUAAAUUAUAUAAACAGAAGACACAAUACCACAAACGUUAAUACAAGCAAAACAUCCCUAAAACAUAACGGCCUGCGUAUAAUUAGUUCUGAAAUGUCACAAAAGAAAGGAAUACAUAAAACCUAUACAAACAGAUAAGUAUGUUCACCUUCAACGCCUACGUUUGUGCUGAAAUGAGAAUAUAUGGACUUGCUGUCAGGAAUACAUAUUCAUUGUUGCAUAGUAUAACGAAGAAACGAUACGUUUUACGGGGAAAAAUGUUACAUCGAUACAUCGUAGAAUUUCAAUUAAAAAAGUGUCCUAGUUAUAAUGACUUUAAAGUCGAAUAAAUAACAUUGUAGUUCCUUUGUAGUGGAGUAAAGAAGGUCAAUUAUCGAAAUGAAUUUUCAAAGUGGUAUAAUCAGUGAAGGGCAGUGGGGUUUCUGUAUUACAGUACAAUAGUUUAAUAGAUUAUAUACCAAUAGCAUUUCCGGUCAUUUUAAUAUACACAGUGGAUAUUGCUAUCAAAAUAACAGCUAGUUUGUAGAAAUUUAUUAACACAAUACUAGAUCAAUUCCAAUUAAUAAAAAACAUCAUCGUUUACAAUUUUACAAAAAUACCCAAUACGGUCAUUACCUUUCACUUAACAUAAAUUUGACAGUACAUAAGGACUAGAAUAGUUUUCAUUAAUGUAUAGCCUGUACAUAUUCAAUACGUAAUGGAAUCCCAAAAGAGGUAUCCAAAUACAAUAAUUUGAAGAGCGAAAAUCGAAUUACAUGACCAUAAAACAGAAUGUAAGAUACAAUGUAGAACAAUCAUCUCUCUCUUUUACACAAAAAUACAGAUACUAGUAACAAGUACCCAGUUGAAACCGAGGUGCUCAUCAAGGAUUACCGCCAAAAGUGACUUUUCUUUUGAUUUUUAUUACAAUCAUACAAUCUGUUGACAAGUUUUGUUCACACAUAGUUGUCAAUAUAAAGGAAUUUUAUGAUUUAUAAAUCAACCAUUUCCUACAUAGUAAAAUGCCUGUACCAAUAGUUAUCAAAGGUACCAGGGUUAUAAUUUAGUACGCCAGAGUCGCGUUUCGUCUACAUAAGACUCAUUAGUGACGCUGUACCAAGUCAGGAUAUAUAAAAAAAAGAAAGUGUAUGAUUCCAAUGAGACAACUAUCCACAAAAGACCAAAAUGACACAGACAUUAACAACUAUAGGUCACCAUACGGCCUUCAACAAUAAGCAACGCCCAUUACCGCAUAGUCAGCUUAAAAGGCCCGAUAAGACAUGUAAAACAAUUCAACGAGAAAACUAACGGCCUUAUUUAUGUAAAAAAAAUGACGAAAAACAAAUAAUAACACAUAAACAAACGACAACCACUGAAUUACAGGCCUGAUUGGGACAGGCACAUACAUAAUAAUAAUGUGGCGGGUUAAACAUGUUAGCGGAUGCCAACCCUCCCUACCUUGGACGUGGUAUAACAGUAACAUAAAACGAACUAUAAAAUCAGUUGAAAAAGCUUAACUCAUCAGAUGGAUGACUGUUGUAAUUCAUUCGUUUGAUGUGGUUGAGAUUUUGCGUUUGCCUUUUGAUUAGUGACUUAUUUUUUUAAUUUUCUUCCAGGUUCUGAAUUUUUACAGAUUUUACUUUUCAUUAAUGUGAAGUAAAAAGGAGAAACAAAAUAAUGACUCCGUAAAAGUGAAAACGUGAUCAUCUCUUACACAAAAAAAAAUUAAAUCAUCAUGAUUUGUUAUCCAACAAUCGAAAAAGACUUCCAAUGUAGGUGUUGGUGACAUUUUGCUAUGUUAACAUUAUAAAAUACAUGUAGUUGAAUAGAAAUAUUUAAUAAUAUGCAAUUGAUACUAUUUCUCCCUCUUAUAUUCAAAAGUGCGUGCACAUUUUCAACAAUUAUCUCGAUACUCUUAUACACCGCUAUAUAAGAUUAUUUUACACAAUUGUAUCAAGAUAAUAAGUAUAAUUUUAGUUUUGAAUACAAGUUCAAGAAUUACGUAAGAUAUCGACUGUGCAAAUUUACUUUUUUGUCUUUUGUUUUUUAUCGAAUCCACGCAAAUUAUUCACAGGUGCAUACACUUAUAUGUGUUUAUUGUUGAUGCAAACAUUGAUUGCCUGGCUAAUUUUACGAAAUUUGAUUCCUUAAACUACCACAAUACAACAAUAAAAAUAGUCAUUUGGUAAACUGCUAAAAACAUUACACAUAUCGAGUUCUAUUGCAAAUAUAGCUAGUUACCGUGAUUCAUUUGAGGUGACUGUACAGACACUUAUCUGUCUAGCCUUAAGAGUGCACAACAUAUACGUUUAAGAUUGUGAAUUGUUUUCAAAAAUAGGUAAGAAACUUGUUUUUCUGUUUUUCAAUCAACACUAUAAACAGCGUCUCAUUUAAUUUAUAUUGUUAUUGUUUGAAUCUUGAUGCUCCAUUUGUUAUAAAUGAAACGAAUUUGAUUACUAGGAUUAAUUUCAGUUUCAGCAGAACAGUUUGUACUGUGGAAAUGGAUUAAUAUAAGUUGUAAUAACUUGUCUCCCAAUCCACUUUAAAUACAUAUCUUUUACUAAAUUAAACUCAACAGUUCGUAAAAGGUUUAGCUAGUUAAAAAAUCCAGGUUUAAUCACCCAUUCUCUGCAUAAGAAAAUGCCUGUACCAAGUCAGGAUUAUGACAGUUGUUAUCCAUUCGUUUGAUCUUUUUAUAUUGCCAUUUAAUUAGUGACUUUCCUCUUUUAAUAUUCCUCGGAGUCCAGUUUUUUUUAGGAAUGCUGAAAAAUGUAUUAACGAAAUGUAAGCAUUGUUUGAUUACAUGUGAACAUAGGAAAAGCGGAUUUUUUUGUUUGUAAGAACAGAUGAGAAAAUUUGCACAUAACUGACCACUGUUCAGUGAUUCAUUAUCUUAGGAUAAGGAGUUGCAUACUCCGCAUGGUUAAUAAAGAUCAAAAUUAUUUGAUUUUGUUACAGCUGUAUUCGUUAGAAAUGUGUUGUGGAUAAUUAAGUAGAGAUACACGCGUAUGGUCCAAAUACUCAUAUGGUCCGGAACAUAUACAUAAUUGGGGAAGCUUCGGUUGUAAUUGAACAAUACUGUGGAAAGUAUGAACAAUCCUGCUUCGUUUGUUAUAAAAUAAAUGCGCAAAAAAUGGAAAUGAAAAUCUCAUAUUUGUUUUAUCAAAAGGUACUUGAGGGCAAUAAAAAGUUUUAAGGUUAAAACAAAUUUGCAUGACAAAAAGGUUUCAGCGUCGGUUGGGAUUGUAUAAUAUGCGGGUUAUCUAAACAGUUGUGUGUUUAAAAAUAACAAGUGAUUGUUAUAUUUCAUUCAUUAAUUCGUUACAGUUGUGUAUGAAAAUAACCAAUAUUUAUUUAAUUUCAAGCAAAUUAUUAUUUUUCUUUAAUCAUAAAAUAGCGACAAUACCAGUGACUAAAGCUAUUCCUUAUAAUAUCAAUGAAUAUAUCAUAUUUAUUACAGCUUGUUCUUCACUAUCGACAAUUACUAAUAACAAUUUUCAUUAUUUUAUUAAACGAAUAGCCUUAACAAUUUUAUUGCUAACAGUGUGAAAUGUAAAAUACAUCGUGAUAUUGUUUUCUGUCUGAUUUAGAGGGCACUGUAUCUUUAACUGACAGUGUAAUAAAUUCUAAUUAAGUCGGGUUCCUAUUAAUUGAUUGAUCCUCCAAACAAACUUCCGCAUCCCAAGUUGUAUUUUGCAUUAGACUUUAUUAGUCAAUCCAUAAAGAUAAGAAAAAUAUACGCUACCACGCAACUGUUUUCACUUCAUUUAAUAUAUGUGCUCGAAUUAAGGAUGAAGUAGUCUUUAAAGGUUUGGAAGUUUAAUUGUUUUUGUUGGAUUACCAUUAAUAGCAUUAACCACCGUCGAGACAUCAGAUAAUUAAUAAGACUAUACUCAGAAUAUGUUAUUAUGUUUUCAAUCAAAUAUUUUUUUUUUUUUAUCUUAAGGAAAAGCUAUAUAUAAUGCAGUAUUCAAUUAUCUACCAGAUGCGAGUUUGUCAAUAAAAAAAGUUUGAAUUGUGUCUUUAUGUUUUUGAAUUUCGUACAACAUUACAUGGUCUGUAAAUAAAUAUUAUCAUGCUAAGAUCAUCAAACAGGACACCUUCAAAAAGUUGACUGUGAAGAUAACACUUUAAACAAAAUUCAUUGAUAUUCUUUUUAAUUCAUUAUGUAGAAUAGCUUGGGACAAUAUAAUUUAAAUCAAGAAAAAUUUGAGAAAUGGGUAGAAAAUAUUGAUACUUAUAAUUGUUAAGGGUUCAAACACUUUGUUCGAAAUAACCAGAAAUUCGACUUAAAAGUAUUCGAGAUUACGAGAAUCGACUCUAUGUUGAAGUUCAACUAAGAUUUUGUUCAAACAAUGUCAAUUCCAAUAUGCUCAAUUGUUAUUGCAUUUUUGUCACCCAAAAUAGUAUAAAUUUGUAAUGGUUGGAACCUUAGAAUAUGAAUAUGAAAUAUCCUCAUCGAUUUUCUACUUAUGUCCGAUACCUUGUUGUUGAAUACAUUUUUAUACAAAAUCAUUGUCUCUUAUCACAAUUAUGCUUUAUCUAAUUAACCAGUUUUCAUCCCAAGGUAUUUCGUUGCACUGAGUUAACAUUUAUGUUAUAACAAUUAAUUUUAAAAAUGUAAACUAUUUUCAAAAGAACUAUAAAAAUAUUUAUAAGUAUGAUUAUAUUAGAAAUAAGGAUUGGUGUAUGACAGAUCAUACUUUAACUUUUUGUUAUGGUAACAAACAAUUUGAAGCUUUCACAUUCAGACAAAUAAAACAAUAAAUUAAGUUACAGAGGAGAGCUUAUGAAUUCAGAUAAAAAUUGCACUAGUGAUUCAGAGAUUUGUGACAUCAUCUGAUGAAAAAAUCAAUUUAAUCGGCAUUCUUAAAGUAAACGAAAAACGUUUGGUAGAAAUCUUAUUCCACAAUCAAGUUCAAACCAUAAAAUAGAAAUACAUAAACCUGUGUAAAUAUAAAGACAACUUGACCAAGAUACAUGUAACAUAUAGAUUUAUUACAACCUUUGACUAUUCAAAAAUUACACUCGGGCUAAAAUAAAACAGUAAACAAAAGUGUGUCUCAUAUCUCAGUGAGAUCCGUGUAUCUAAAUUUGUUCAGGACAGAUUGUCUUGGAAAGUGCUGAUUGAGAUAAAUGAGUUUUUACUGAACGCAUUCCAUUGUCGGUGGUGUUAUUCCUAAAAUCAGUGGGUGCCAGAUCUGGUUUACGAAAAAACAUCUGAAGAACUAAAAAAAAACCUUGAUAAAUCAUACAAGAUCUAGAAAUGAUUAAUUUGCUACCAAGAUUCUACUCGUUUUUCACAAAAAUUAAUCAGAUUCUUACAACUGAGAAAGGUUAUUUUUAUGACAAAAAUUUAGCUCUUUGCACUUAAUUUAUCACUUGAAAUAAUGAAGUAUCAAACAACAUAUUCAUCAUUUUAAUGCAAUGUAAGAUGUUUACUAAUUUAUACUGGAUGUGAUCCAGAUUUAGCUGGCAUCGCUGUGAUAUGUUCAUUGCUAUCAACUUCCAAGUAGAAACUUAGUUUCUGUUUGUCGCAAAGUACUACGUAUUUAGGAACUAGCAUACAGUGCUCAUAUCAAAAUCAACAACAGAGCUAAAGACUGUACUGUAAUCGUAAACACGUCAUCGCAUAAACGUCCUUAAUAAUCGAAUAUUUAAACCAUAAAGUUAUUUCGACACCAAUGGAGAUAUAAAGGGGAAAAUACUUAUAUGUACAGUUGCUCCAUAAUGUUAAUCAAUAUUAAAAGUAUUGGAAGCAAGCAGACAUACACGUUAAUUACUGAAGAAAAUCACGUAUACUGCAGUUCUUUUUUAAUGUUUGUAUACUGCACUUGUAUUAAGAUGUUUGUAAACUGCACUUCUGUUUAGAUGUUUGUGUACAUGUAUAGAUAUCAUAAUAGUUUUGAAGAUAGAAAAUUUGGUAAAAAUAAAUAUAUUCUAAAAAGGAUAUUUUCAUUAUUACAAAUGUGUUAAAUGUUAAAAUCAGUACAUAGUGUAGUAUGCAAGAAAAGUCAAUCAAUGCGUGGACACAACAUUUUUUGCACUGCUUUAAAUAUUACAGUUUUUCCAUCUUUUGUCAUGUGCGAGACGACAAACAGAUAAACACUUACUAAUAGGCAUCGACAAUUAAUUUUUGUAGUGGUAAUAACUUAUGUUAGAACAAACACAUUUCUCUACUUUAAUACACACAAACUGCCUGUUUCAAUACAAUGUAUAAAGAAAUAUAUUUUGGGAACACAAAUGUGAUUGUUUUUUGUUUUCAUAAUUUGCAAUAGACACCAAUAGUUUUUCACUUUCCUCAUGAUUUUUUUAACUAUAAAUAUUUUUCAUUUUUAGUCUUUUAAUAAAUGUUCAUAUUUAUCGACUGCGGUAAAUUCAGUACUGCACUGACAAUUCAGUAUAAUGUUUAUCUGUACCGGUAGAUAAAAAAUACUGAACAAUCUAAACACACACACAAAACAAUCUUAAAUGACUGUAAGUGAAUUGUCUAAAAAGCACUUAAUUUACCGCAAUGGAUAAGCCUGCAAAUAAGCUCAUCAUAGAUACCAGGAUUCAAAUUUUGUGUUUGCGCCGGACGCGUGUUUCUUCUAAAACAAAAACAAUCAAAACCAAGGAGUAAACAAAGACUCACAAAACCAAAGGACAUUAACAUCAACAGUUAUAAAUAAUAAAUAAGAAACGACACGAACUCCACUAAAAACCGGGAGUGAAAUCAGGUGAUCCGGAAGGUGCUCUAUAAAGACACUAUAUACUGGCACUCCAUUAAAAAAAGCUAAAAAGACCAAAUAAAGAACGAAGUUAUAGAGCAUUGAGAUCCAAAAUUCCCUAAACAAUUUGCCAAAUACAGCUACGGUAAUCUAUUGUUGAGGAUGAAAAUUACUUAUCUAUAGCGCCCAGUUUAUCAGAGCUGUUGAGGUCAAAGUGAUCCUUUCAGACUAAAAUGUUUUUUACUAGUAUUGUACAACUUUUGAAAUAAGCCGAUGCAAUGAAAGUCAUAUUACUCAUAAUUAAACUACAUUUAUGAUUGUGAAACAAGUUUGUUAUUUGGCUUUACACGUACAGUGCAAUAGAUUUAACUCAAUGUAUUACUUAAACAAAUGAUGCAUUCUAUAUUUUACUGAUUAAUCCCCACAUGGACAUGGAUUUCUGUAAUGGGUGAAGAUUUAUAUAAUUGUGCCAAACACGUAUGCAAUUUACAUGUACAUGUAGUUGUUUUGCCACUUGUAAAUUACUAUGUGAAACCGUCACUCUAAUAUAUACAAAACUGUAGAAAGAUGUACAAUAUAAAUUGUUAUAUUUCGGGAUUGUUUUUUUUUUUUUUUUUUGUCAUUUUUGUUUGUUGACAUAUUUUGUCAUAUUUGUCACAUAUUUGUACUGAUUAAGACAAAUAGUAAGCCAACGAUAUUGUUGAAAGUUUUGAAGUGUUAAGGAUGGACGCGUUUGUCCAGAAAAAGUUUCAAAAUAUUGUGAAAGAAUAAUCAAACCUGUAUGUACGAAUAAUCGAUGAUGACCUUCUCAAUAUCUUUCGGCUAUAAAGCUAUUGUCACAUUUGCAGUCAGCAAUCUUAAAUUAGAAGUUAGAAUGUUAGCUUAUAAUUUUAAAAUUAUAACAAAACAAUAUUGAUAUCAAUCUUAAAAUGUAUAACGAGAACAAAAACGAUAGUAUUUAACUGUUUUUGUAGUUGUGUGGUAGAAAUAAAAAGAUAAAUUGCUGAAAUAGUAAAGUUUGCUUUUUGCCAAAAUGGUCAUUAUCAUCUGAACAUCAUCUGAACAAACAUUAAAUUUUAAUAAAAGCUUUAACAAAUUAACGUUAUAUUUCAAACAUAUUCGAUCCGUAAUGUCAUAAAAUUAAAGUAUAGUUUAGUAGAAUAAAAUGUGUAUGCGUAGAAUUUUGCAGUUUUCCUUAUUCAGUUGUGUCAUAACGGUAUUAGGGUGUUAAAAAAUUUGGCGAAGUGAGACAGUCCCCGCAGAUAACCUUUACACCACAUUUUUUUUUAAAUUCAUAUUAAUUUGAAAUAGGAGAAAAGAUUAUAGAUAGUUUAAGACAAUCAUGAUAAUGUACAAACUACAUUCAAACUAUAUCAAGGAAGCCACGAUAGUUAUUUAAGACAUGUUCUAUGAUGUUGAUGGUCAUAAACAGAAAUAAGAUAGUAAUUACGUUUAAGCUAGAUAGAAGUCUUUUAAGUCAGUGAAAGGAUAGUGUCCUCAAAAGAAAUAAAUAAACGUUUAUAUAAAAUGGAAAAUAUUAAUUAGAAUAAAACAUUACAAGUAAAUCGUGUUUGAAAUAUAUGAUAUCUCGUGAUAGUUUAAUGAAUAUUAUUUACUUGUAAAUAAAUGAUUGGAUAUUUGACCAGUAAGUAGUCAGGACCUCGGUUCUGACAAGUUAGGAACAAACACUGUUUUUUAAAUCAUACUUAAGUUUUAAAAAUUAAGAUGUUAUUAAGAAACUUUCUCCGGCAAAGUUAUAUAAGUUGGAUUCAUCUAUUGUUUUAGGUUCUUCCUGGUUCUGAUUCAUUUCCUACACUUUAUUGGUGUUCUAAUAUUCGACUUAGAGCGUUCAUGGUAAUAAUCAUAAUCUUUCUGAUUUCUUAAUAUCAAUUUUCGGAAAUAGAGAACGUAAUAAAAAAAAGUUACUUUUCCCAUGUUUAAUCCUGUUUGUUUUCAAUUUGAAAAAUAGGAAACAUAUUUAUGUAGAUAUAGUUGAUGUGUUUCCAUCGAUUUCGGUUUGUGACUCGGAUAUAUUUUCGCUUAAUCGAUUUAUGACUAUUGAAUAGAGGGCUAAUACUGUUGCCUUUAAUUACAUUUCAUGUAUGCAAAUUGUUAAUACAAAGAAUAAAAAAUACAAGGCACCAUUAAUUCUUCAAAGGUUCAACUUGGAUUUUAUAUCAAUAAGAUAAAUAAAAUUAAGAAUGAAAAUGGGGAAUGCGUCAAGGAGACACAACCCGACCAAAGAGUAUAAAUGAGUAUCAAUGAUACGUCGAAUAUUUUGUAGGGUUAAAUAUAUAAUAAAAAGAUGAUGUAGUAUACCUGUUGUUUAAUUAGAUCUGCGUAAACAAAGCUUUAAAGCCUCCUUUUAUGCUUGUUUUCAAAACAAGUUAAAGUUUUUUUUAUUGUUUAUCAAUGUUUAUCAAUUGAAGCAUACACAAUCUUUUGAUAUUUUUUUUGUAAAAGUUUAAAUAAUUAAGUACAGCACUUCAUCAAGUGUAAAUUGUUAAGUGUUUUAAUCAUUUAACCUCUAAUCGAUUAUUAUCUUUUCGGCAGUUAGUUUUUUUUAUCAGCUAUUUUAGUGUAAUAACACUGGAAUGAUGUAUAAAAUGUAAAUGUUUACGCUUUUUAAACUUUUGACAUGUUUCUAAUUUAAAGUUUGUGUAUACUUAAUGAUGGUAUAAAUAUUUUUAUUAGAAACAUCAAAGGAUAACAUUCAUUUUCUUGAAUGUUUUAUGUAUUUUUACAAAUGGUUCAAUGCAUUGUAUACAUCAUUGAUUUAUGAAAUUCAACUAACACUUUAUCUUUAAUGGAAUUUUGUCCGUUCGAGUAAAAAAAAUAUGCAGAUUUUUGUGAAAAUUCACCGAUAAGAAUUCAUUUUAAAGUCUGCAUAAGUGUGUUUGAAUUAUAUAUAUAUAUAUCAUGCGAGAAUGUUCCUCAUAAAUCAACGUAAUACGAUGACGAAAUAAUCAUAUCAUACGCAUUUCAUAUUACAUAUUUUUGGUCAUAAACUCUGUUAAUUGGAAAACAACCAAAAUUCUGUCAUUUGUAACCACUAUUUGAUGAUAUUUUGUGUAUGUGUAACUGCUUGCUGUUCGGUGUGAGCCAGAGUCCAUGUUAAAGGCCGGACCUUGACCUAUAAUGGUUAACUUCUAUAAAUUGUUACUUGGAUUGAGAGUUGUAUCAUUGGUACUCAUACCACAUCUUCCUAUAUCUGUAUACAAUAAAUAGUGUAUAAAAUAAUAAUUUUAAAUGAUAAGUCCUUUCCUCCUAGAAACUUAUCGAAUUAUUUUUUCUUAUGCUAACUACCUGAUAAAUUUCUUUAAUUGUUCAUUUGACACGAUAAAUAAAAGGUAACAUAUAAACGAUGUUGAGUCCUUAUCCUUAAGACCCUUAACUUUACAAAUACUUCAAGUCUGCUUACAAGAACGUUUUUGUGACCAAGGGUCUUUUCAUGUCGAAACUUGUGCAAUAUUUUAAUCAUGCCAUCCAUAUAUGACUUUCAAAGAGUACCUAUGUGACGGAUAAUCAAAGGAACUUCUCCAUUUGUUGAAGACAAAUCAAUUCAUAUGAUUCACCACGAUAUAGAAAUUGAACCAAGUUCUUGCGAAUGAACAAAACGUACAACCCACUUUUUUUUCUGUGUGCGGCUGUUAAGAUGUUGAGGAUGUAUAUAAACGUAGCCAUAUCAAGUUUGAUGCAUGACAUUAAAUACCUAUGUCUCGUAUCGGGACGAUGCAAGAUUUGAUUUCAUUGCAAUUGCUAGGGACCAUGUGUCGCUUAAAUUUUCAUCAUAAUAUUUUUUUACUUAAAACAAUGAUAAGUUGACGAUAAACAACUGAUUUAGGUUUUCAUUUUUUUUCUUUUUUAAUCAUUUUCUUAAAGGUAAAAACUAUAAGGAUUUUCAUAACAUAACUGCAUCAGUAAGCCACCUGUCAUCAAUCGAUAAAUAAAUCAACUAUUAAAAGAAAAUGUUUCAUAAUCGUUCAGGCUUACUAUUUUAUUGUAAGACAUAUUCCUCUGAAACGAUUUUUUUUUAUGUUCGUCAGGAAAAUUCUUAAAAUAACUUGCACAGGAGGUUCAGGUAAGCGACGUAUAUUUUGUUAAAUGUUUCUUGUUUAUGCCUAAGGUAUAUAAAAGUCAAAUUUAGGCUAGAGCCAUAAUAUGAAGCAUUGUCUUUUGGUCAUUUACAGCAACGAAGGCGUCAAAAUGAGUCAUAAAGGAUAAUCAACGGAAAUACAAUUGGGAAUUUUAUGGAACGUCGGUUGAUUAUUACCAAUCUGAAAGUAAAAACAAAAGCUGUCUCGGUAACAUAUUUAAGUUUAAACAAGAAAGUUUACUUAAUAUAUGCAUAAUUUAACCUGGUUAAAUUAAGUCAUUUGGAUUAUUCACAUUUGAUAAUGACCACCCAAAUGAUUGACUGUGUGUAUGCAUACGGUCAUUUGGAAAGGAAAAGUUGAGCUGAGGGAGAUGUACGUUUGACUUUGUACAAUGUAUGAAUACGCGAUUAUGCCAAUAUAUAUCAAGCAUAUCGAAAUGCAGAGUCCAUCAACCCGGCUGAUUCACGUUUUACAACGUACCGGAAAUAAUAAUAAAACUAUGCUUUCGUCCUGGAUAUGCAUAAAAUAUUUGUGAAUGGGCUUUACGCAAACAGCAAUCAAUUUUUUGUCCUCAAUGCUCUUCAACGUUAUACUUUAUUUGGCCUUUUUUUUUUUAUUCGAGCGACACUGCUGAGUCUUUAGUACACGAAACGCGUUUAAUUAGUACUCUCUUAUAUGAUUUUGAUAUACAGUCUAGCAUAUACCAACUUUGUAAAAAUUGAAACUUAUCUGACGUUAGUAUAUCUUGUUGACAACUUAAUCAUCCUUAAAAGAUUCGUGUUUAUUGGUCAAUUAUUCGUACCAAAAAAUAAACUAGAAAUUGCAGACAUGUUAAGUGGAAUGUUAAUCGGAUAGCAUUUUAUGUCUUAGAUUUUCCAUCUCCUUCAACGAAUUUUAUUCAGUGAAAAAGGAAAUGUAAUUUGUCAGACAACAAUUUAUACGUUCAUCUGCUAUUAACUAUGUACACUCGUUAAGUUUAUACGAAAUAAUUUGACCUUUUAAUAUUAAACCACCUACAAGGAAGAGAUAUUAUGUUUUUCUUCCCUAAAUCAAUGACAGUAUAUAAUAUCCAAUAAAUAAAGUUAAAAUCGAGCAUUAAAUUUAACGUAUUAUAUUGCGAAAACAAAUAUUAUUCUGAAUGUCAAAAAAAUGGCAAGGAUGCAAGACUUGAAGUUAUGUUUUUCUAUAGGUAACUUAUGAUGGUGAAACCACAUACAUCGAAGGAAGACGAUAUUAUGUUGUUUUUCUUUCCCUCAAUCAAUACAAUUAUAUAGUAUCCUGUACAUCAUGAUAUUUGAAAUUACAAUUUAAGUAUUUAAUGUGAAAAAAAUUUCAAUUAUUAUUAUAGAUGUCAAAAUAAUAGGAAGGAAGUAAAACUUGUAGAUACAUUUGUUGUAUGGGUAACUCGUGAUGGUAUAUUCCACGUUAUAACAGCAGUCAACCCUGUCGACUAUUGAUAUUCAUUUCACUGUAUCAUGACACACGUAACAAGACGUUUAAAUUGUUUUCUCGAUUUCUUGACAUUUCUAUGGAUACAAUUAAAUAAUUGCAACAAAUCAGUGAUACUUUAGGUUAAUCAAAAUAUGUUAUAAUUAUCCUAAUGGAGGAAAACGCUUUAUAAUUUUAUUUUAUUGCAGUGACUUCACAAUUCAAGGGAAAACACGCAUGUUACUGAAUUAAG